rnacentral:rRNA from 1 species
UACGUAGGGGGCGAGCGUUGUCCGGAUUCAUUGGGCGUAAAGAGCUCGUAGGCGGCUUGCUAAGUCGGGUGUGAAAUCCUCAGGCUCAACCUGGGGUCGCCACUCGAUACUGGUAUGGCUUGAGUCCGGUAGGGGAUCACGGAAUUCCUGGUGUAGCGGUGAAAUGCGCAGAUAUCGGGAAGAACACCCGUGGCGAAGGCGGCACUCUGGGACGGUACUGACGCUGAGACGCGAAAGCGUGGGGAGCGAACAGG